CUGAUACAGCGCAAUAACAACAAACAAACGACCCUACCUCUGACAAUACUGUGUUCAGCUAGCAUUUUAUCAGACGUAAAGCUCAUCACGGCCGUUUUUCUCUUGGGUUACGAGCAGAAACCAAACACCCAUCCGGCGCGCGCAUCAUUUGUUGUUAGCAAAGCUGAUGAUCAAAAUCACGCAUCGCUUAUGUCGCAGAAAAAAUCUCCACCAUCCACUAAACGUCCCCAUCUGACUUAAGUUCUCAGGAAGAAAGAAGAGAGCUCCCCUCAUACUCUUUAAACCCCAUUAACUUUUUAGUAUCCUCAUGAUGGUUCCAGUAUACACAUUUAUGUCAAUCAACACAUCAUGUUUGAGUUAAAACUUCCUGAAAAGCUGUUCAUUUGUGAUGUCAAUUUAUAGACUUUAUCAGAAUGCUAAUUCUCAAAGGUCUCUGUCUGGAAUUUGUAUUAUAUUUUAACAACAAUUAUUUUUGAAGUAAUAGUCUAAUAGUAAAGAAUAGGAAAAAUAUAUUUGUAAUGUAACAGUUUUUUGAAACUUUUGACCACACACACACACACACACACAUUUGGGAAAGUUUGUGUUUCAUGUUUUGUAUUUGACACAUCAGGGUUUUAUGGCCCAUAUUGUACUAUGAUAUAAUGAGAAAAUAGUGCUCAUUCUCAUGGAAGAAAAAAUUCACAAAUUGAGCAAAAUUAUGGAACGUAGCAAAAAAGAUUAAAUAAUAUGUCUAAAUAGAUGAAAUUCAGGUAGCUUAUAAUGUAAAUCAAAGAGAUUUUUAGUAUAACAGUAUAGCAGAAUACUUACAUAAAAUGCAAAUAAAUAUCAGUAGUCAACUUAUCACUAUAUCUCCGAAAAAUAUAUCUAAGUAAGAUUAUAUUUUUGCUUAGUUUUGUGAUUAAAGCUCUGCACUGGAGGGCAAACCAUUCAAUGCAAUACAGUGAUGACUAAGAAUUACAAAUAAACUGCAAAAGUCUGUUUUUCUUCCUAAAAUGAUGUAUGGAUAAUAAUGUAAAGUUGCUUCAGUUCAGUUCAUUAAAUUUUCUUGAAAUUGAUAUUGUUCAAUAUAAAAGAUACUCAGCAAUAUAAAAGAUAUUCUUAAAAUGUGGAACACACAACACUAUUAUACAUUUAACACACAUACUUAUUUAAGUUUCAUAUUUGCACAUACGUGUACAUACAAAAUUGUUUAUUUUGUAUAUUGUGUCUUUGCUAUUUUGUACAUUGUUUAUUUUGUAUAUUUGUAUAUUAUUAUUAUUUUUCUCUGUGUCUUGUCUUGUCACUGUCACUUUGUUGCACGGUGGAGCUUCUGUUGCUAAAACAAAUUCCUUCUGAUUCUGAUUCUUACAUUUGCGUUACCACAACCUGAAGAUGGACAAUUUUUAGAAUGAUACUAAAAGGUAUUUUACUAAUUAAACAAAUAUAAACUAUCAAUCAAAGGCAGAAUGCACAUAUAUUAUUUUUCAGCAAAGAUUUGAUGUUAAUAAUUUAGAAGCCUUAGAACUUUAUGUAUUGAUUAUGAUAAAGUA